UACCACUUUCUUUUAUAAUUAAACUUCUUGCUGCGCGGAGUAACACUAAAGGAUUUAAACGUUUAAUUCCCCUAUCUCAUGAGGUAGCAAAACUUUUCUCGUGGAAGGGAACUGGUACCAAAAGCAGCACUAUUGGUUUGGCAACGACUGCGGCAAUAGGAAGUACGGAUCAUAAUAUUAUUUAUUACCACUUUUUACUUAAUUAAAUUUUCCGGUUUCCAAUGGAGUUUAAUCUU